UACGGGGGGAGCAAGCGUUGCUCGGAAUUACUGGGCGUAAAGGGCGCGUAGGCGGACAUUUAAGUUAGAGGUGAAAGCCCAGGGCUCAACCCUGGAAUAGCCUUUAAUACUGGAUGUCUUGAGUUCGGGAGAGGUGAGUGGAACUCCGAGUGUAGAGGUGAAAUUCGUAGAUAUUCGGAAGAACACCAGUGGCGAAGGCGACUCACUGGCCCGAUACUGACGCUGAGGCGCGAAAGCGUGGGGAGCAAACAGG
rnacentral:rRNA from 1 species